rnacentral:rRNA from 1 species
GGCGAACGCUGGCGGCGUGCUUAACACAUGCAAGUCGAACGGAAAGGCCCCUUUGGGGGUACUCGAGUGGCGAACGGGUGAGUAACACGUGAGUAACCUGCCCUUGACUUCGGGAUAACUUCAGGAAACUGGGGCUAAUACCGGAUAGGAAUCCUUGCUGCAUGGUGGGGGUUGGAAAGCUUCGGCGGUUUUGGAUGGACUCGCGGCUUAUCAGCUUGUUGGUGGGGUAGUGGCUUACCAAGGCUUUGACGGGUAGCCGGCCUGAGAGGGCGACCGGCCACAUUGGGACUGAGAUACGGCCCAGACUCCUACGGGAGGCAGCAGUGGGGAAUAUUGCACAAUGGGCGGAAGCCUGAUGCAGCAACGCCGCGUGCGGGAUGACGGCCUUCGGGUUGUAAACCGCGUUCAGCAGGGGCGAAGCUUGUGGUGACGGUACCUGCAGAAGAAGCACCGGCUAACUACGUG